CAUAGGAUAGUUUAAUUAUAAAAAUUUUAAUUUUGGAGAUUAAAGAUAAAGAAUUUCUUUUCCUUUGA
rnacentral:tRNA from 1 species